rnacentral:lncRNA from 1 species
AUAAUGCUAAAGUAAUUUGUUGUGUUAUGGUAUCUGAAGAAAUAAUUAGUACAUGAAUAUGUACAAGUUAAUCAAUGUACAUAUUUGAUAUUAAUGAGUACAUGAUUUACAUAUAAACAAUUAGCUAUGCAAAAUCAAACUAUAUUAUUUCUUUAGGCGACACUUAACAUCUCUAUAGUGUAACACAGACUUUCAGGUAUUUGUUAUGAGUUGUUGCAUCUCUAUAGUGUAACACAGACUUUCAGGUAUUUGUUAUGAGUUGUUGCAUCAGG